CUUAAAUCACUACACAAGCUUCCAUCAAAGUUAAUCCGAUUAGAUGCAAUGGGUUGUGAAUCAAUGGAACCUUUAUCACAAACAAAGUUAUGGAAUAUGGUUUCAUCACUUGACCAUGAGUAUCGUCAUCGAGUUACAUAUGAUAAUACAUUGCUCAAGCACAUUGAGGUAGUAGAAUAUCUCCCCCAAAGAGAUUUUUUCACAAUUCUUUGGGGAUUAGAAAUACCAUCAUGGUU